UGGGUUGUGGCUCAGUGGUAGAGCCCUCACCUAGCACAUGGGAGGCCCUGGGUUAGAUCCUCAGCACCACAU
rfam:Ictidomys tridecemlineatus contig066180, whole genome shotgun sequence.